rnacentral:rRNA from 1 species
CUCAAUGAAAUUUAAAUAGCCGCAAUAUACUUGUGCUAAGGUAGCAUAAUAAUUUGUCUUUUAAUUAAAGACUAGAACAAAAGAUUUAACAUUUUCAUUUCUUUUUUAAUCAUAAACAUUUAAAUUAUCUUAAAUAUAAAAAGAUAUUUAUUAAAUAAAAAGACGACAAGACCCUAUUGAACUUAACUAAAGUUUAACUGGGGCAGUUAAUUAAAUAUUAUUUUAAUUAAAAUUUACAAACACCUAAUACAAUUAAAUUCAUCAAGUUACCAUAGGGAUAACAGCGUAAUAAUUUUUUAUAGUUCUCAUUUAAAAAAUAAUUUGCGACCUCGAUGUUGAAUUAAUAAUCUAUUAAAUGCAAUAAUUAAUAAGAAAGUC